GGAAUAGAGCAGCUUCUAGUAACAAUCCCCGAACCUCUUUCAGCCGCUGGAGAAGUCCAGCCUGCCCACAGGACAGAGGAGGGUGACGCUUCCUCUGAGGAGCCUGGAGGCCAGGGCACAGCUGGCCACCCUAGGAGGUUUUCAGCGCCAUGGGCUGCAGUUCUGCCUGCUCUGCUGUCUCCCAGGGUCGUGAUGACAGCGCACCCAUGUGCUGAGAGAGUCCACGUAGUGACAGAGAGGACAGGGAAGGAGCAGCUGGGAGGGAGGGAGGAAGGGCCAGAGCCGCAGAGGCAGUGGGUGGGACCGGCAGCCAGUGCUCCCCCGUAGACAGAGGGAAGGUUCAGGGGACAGGCUGGCUUCCUAGUAAACAGUGCAGCCAACUCUAAAAAUACCCCUGCUCCAGACAGGCACCCUGAGCAACUCAGGUCUGCUCCAGCCUUCAGGGACCUCAGCCCCUUCCCUGGAAGGUCAAGGGGAUGGGAGGAAAGUCAACUUGUAAAGAGUAGGAUUUCCUUAGGGAGGAAACGAUAACAAUAUUUCCUUCCUCUGCAAAACAGAAGGGGGACACUCAGAUUUUAGCAGCAGCAACAACAAAAGGCAAGAGGCAGCUUACCUUGUUCCUUUGGUAGUUAUCUGAGGUCUGGGCUCAGCUCAGGUCUAAGGCCUAGAGAUGCAUUCACAGCCUGGGAUCAGGGAGCCGGGAGGAGGGCCAGGCUGGAAUCUCUAGCUGUUCCCCUUCUUAGGUGUGUGACUAUGACUCACCAUUUGAUGCCUCAGUUUCCACAAUUAUAAAUGGGAAUAAUGAUAAUGUUUACUUCACUCGGGUGUGGGGAGGAUUAAAUGAGGUGCUAUAUAUAAGGCUCUUAGCACACCAUGCCUGACCUGUGGGGAACACCCAGAAAGGUCUUAUUAUUAGGGUAUGUGGGAGGCUGUAACUGUGCCUCAAUUCUAAGACGUAGUUUAAAGGAAGAUUUAGUCAGAAGAUCAAGGGAGUGGUAUUGGAUACAAAGACAUGGGAAAGGUCUGAAUCAUAGAAAAGUCAAAUCCACUAUUGGACAGAUGGGGAAACGGAGGCCUGGGGAGCAGAAAGUAGAAGUUGCGCCAGGCCAGGCAUUGUCUUAGCAGCUGUAGGUUUAAUGUAAAAUAAUGGUGUGAUGAGACCGCUAAAAACCCUGGUGACAGGCAGGCUGCCCCGCUAGGAGUUAGGAGAAUGAGGCCUUGCAUUAUAUAGCACUUUUCUUUCUUUUUUUUUUCCCAUUUAUAAUGAUUUUUAUUUUUUCCAUUAUAGCUGGUUUACAGUGUUCUGUUAAUUUUCUACUGUACAGUAAGGUGAUCCAGUUACAGAACUCAUCCCCAGGGCUGGUGACUGAGUUAUCAUUGCAGACGGCACCCUUGAACCCAUGGGGGAGAGGCACAGGCAGGAAGAGCUUAGCUCGGCCUAAAGGAGAAUCUUCUAAACCUGUAAAAAGGUAAAAUAUCGCCAUCAUUUUUUAUUGGUUCCAUACUGAAAUGUUAUUUUUAGAUCCAUUGAGGGUAAAUAAUAUAUAUUGUUAAAAUGAAUUUUGCUUGUCCUUUUUAGUUUUUUUCUUGUGGCUUCUAGAAAGCUUAGAGCCAUACUUGGGGCUUGCAGUAUCUUUCGAUUGGGCAGUGCUGUUCUAACCAGUGCAAUGGAACAAGCUGUCUGGCCAGGUAGUGAGCCUCUCAUUCUUGGAGAUGUUUUAAAAAGUUGUUGUUCAUAGAAUUCUUAUAGUUAGUGGGAUAAACUCUGUAAUCCCUUUAAUUCUGCUUCAGUUGUGGUUCCCAGCUGUGAGUCUCCGAGGAGCACUUGCCUCUUAGACCAUGAAAAGAUGUUACAGGAAAAAAGACUGAUGGUCCAUUUAAUAUGGGAAAUUCUUGGUUGGAAAAAAAAAAAAAAAGUUAAGUUUUUCUCACUCCAGGACUUCACAGAACUUUCUAGAUACAAAAUUACACUGUGGGUCUUUAUGACAGGGACACUGUAGUCAGCAUUCCCCAUAUUAAAUUGGUCACAGAACAUGACCAGGAAAUAAUUUAUUAUUAAGUUCAUUCCUUAAGAAUUGCUGGCCUCAAGUUCUUAAAAAAAUUAAAAUAAAUAAAUAAAUAGAUUCGGGAGCUCCCAUUGUGGCUCAGUGGUAAUGAACUUGACUAGUAUGCAUGGAAAGAGGAUUCGCUCAAUCCUUGGCCUUGCUCAGUGGGUUAAGGAUCCAGCAUUGCCAUGAGCUGUGGUGUAGGUCGAAGAUGCGUCUCAGAUCCAGCGUUGCUGUGGCUGUGGCGUAGGCCACCAACUGUAGCUCUGAUUCAACCCCUAGCCUGGGAACUUCCAUAUGCCAUGGGUGUGGCCCUAAAAAGACA
rnacentral:lncRNA from 1 species